CGUGUCCCAACAACACGGCCGACUUUGCCCUGGCGGCGCGCUGCGUCUCCACGCCCUUCGCGCUCAAAGGGGCCGGCGCUGCCGCUUCCCAGGGCGCAGCGGACGUCACGUGCGCCGGCAGAGAGGCCGACGAAAACACUUUCAUGGGACGCUCGCACAAGCUCAGUCCCAUUAUGGAGCAGAGUCCGCCCGACGACAAGUCCUCCGCCGGUCAGCCGGCGUCCUCCUUCGCGGUGCACGCCGGCACCAUCCUGGGCGAGGGACUCGCCGCCCAUCGGCCGAGCGCCUCGUCCGCCGCC